rnacentral:lncRNA from 1 species
UUUUUAAAAGGCAAAUCAUAUUUUCAUAUUUUUCUUUUAGCCCAUUAUUGUAGGAAAUUAUAGCCCAAUUUUAAAGCCCAAGUCUUGAUAGCCCAUACCCCAUUUUCCCUUAAUGAAAUAACAACCCCAAUUUAGUCUUCUUCUAAAAAAAAGACAAGACAUUAAAUAAAACCCUAGACCUUUAACCUUAGGACAACCAUGGCUUCUCCUUAACUAAAACGACUCUGCUCCCCUCAAGCACAUAAACAGCCAUUUCCCUUUCUUCUUCAACAAAAAAGACCUCCAAGGCUUGAAACCUAAGCAGCGAAAGUACGACAGCAAAACACACUUGACGCCAACGAGCCCCCCUCCCUUAACCCAUUGCUGCUUCUCCUUCUUCCGUUCAUAACAGCCCGUCGGAAAAUGACAUAAACGACGACCCCCACAUACACGAACAGUACGCAGAAACAGAUUGGAGGUGCAUAUUCGAGGACCAUUUUUUUAGUUUGCCGCGGUUCCGACGAGCUUCAAGGUUUGGAUCGUAGUUCCGUUCUAGGUUUCCAUUAGCGGUUUCGCGGUCUCCGGUCGAAGGUUUCCGGUUUGGUCGAGGUUUAUUUAAGGUUCUGGAUUAUUGCUUUUCUUGGACGAAUUUUGGAGUCAAGAUAUGUGUAAUUGUUGGUUUUUGUUGCUAUUGAUCGUACAAAGGGCAUUGAAUUUGACUGCUAAUUCAUUGGAUAUAACUUCUGCUUGUUUUUUUUUUUUUUUUGGAUUGUCAGAUUUACCUAUUUUUACUUUUAGGAAUGUAAACUCGGAGUUCCAUUAAUCGGAAAUUUAUCACUUGUUGAGGUUCAGAUUAGGUUAUAUAGCUUUGUGUUUGAGCUUUCGCCGAAUGAAAUUUGUUGGUUCGAUGUCUACCAUUAAGCUCGUAUUCGAUUUUAAAUCGAAGCAUGCUUGAGUUUUUUU